rnacentral:rRNA from 1 species
AUGAACGCUGGCGGCGUGCCUAAUACAUGCCAGUCGCGCGAACAGACGAGGAGCUUGCUCCUCUGACGUUAGCGGCGGACGGGUGAGUAACACGUGGAUAACCUACCUAUAAGACUGGGAUAACUUCGGGAAACCGGAGCUAAUACCGGAUAAUAUAUUGAACCGCAUGGUUCAAUAGUGAAAGACGGUUUUGCUGUCACUUAUAGAUGGAUCCGCGCCGCAUUAGCUAGUUGGUAAGGUAACGGCUUACCAAGGCAACGAUGCGUAGCCGACCUGAGAAGGUGAUCGGCCACACUGGAACUGAGACACGGUCCAGACUCCUACGGGAGGCAGCAGUAGGGAAUCUUCCGCAAUGGGCGAAAGCCUGACGGAGCAACGCCGCGUGAGUGAUGAAGGUCUUCGGAUCGUAAAACUCUGUUAUUAGGGAAGAACAAAUGUGUAAGUAACUAUGCACGUCUUGACGGUACCUAAUCAGAAAGCCACGGCUAACUACGUG